AAACUCAAAGGAAUUGACGGGACCCGCACAAGCGGUGGAUGAUGUGGUUUAAUUCGAUGCAACGCGAAAACCUUACCCACCUUUGACAUGUACGGAACCCUUUAGAGAUAGAGGGGUGCUCGAAAGAGAGCCGCAACACAGGUGCUGCAUGGCUGUCGUCAGCUCGUGUCGUGAGAUGUUGGGUUAAGUCCCGCAACGAGCGCAACCCUUGUCAUUAGUUGCUACAUUCAGUUGGGCACUCUAAUGAGACUGCCGGUGACAAGCCGGAGGAAGGUGGGGAUGACGUCAAGUCCUCAUGGCCCUUAUAGGUGGGGCUACACACGUCAUACAAUGGCUGGUACAAAGGGUUGCCAACCCGCGAGGGGGAGCCAAUCCCAUAAAGCCAGUCGUAGUCCGGAUCGUAGUCUGCAACUCGACUACGUGAAGUCGGAAUCGCUAGUAAUCGUGGAUCAGCCAAGCCGCGGUGAAUACGUUCCCGGGCCUU
rnacentral:rRNA from 1 species